GGCCGGAUAGCUCAGUUGGUUAGAGCAUUGUCCCCAUACAUCAAGGUUGUAGGUUCAAUUCCUGGUCAGGGCA
rfam:Myotis brandtii contig170215, whole genome shotgun sequence.